rnacentral:tRNA from 1 species
AAAUUAGUUCAGUUGGUUAGAGCAUGGUGCUGAGAACACCAAGAUUGCAGGUUCAAUUCCUAUAUGGGAUA